GGGGAUUUAGCUCAGUGGUAGAGCGUUUGCCUAGCAAGCGCAAGGCCCUGGGUUCGGUCCCCAGCUCCA
rfam:Rattus norvegicus chromosome 14, whole genome shotgun sequence.